rnacentral:rRNA from 1 species
AUUGAACGCUGGCGGCAUGCCCUACACAUGCAAGUCGAACGGCAGCACGGGAGCAAUCCUAGUGGCGAGUGGCGAACGGGUGAGUAAAGUAUCGGAACGUGCCCAGUCGUGGGGGAUAACGUAGCGAAAGUUACGCUAAUACCGCAUACGAUCUAUGGAUGAAAGCGGGGGAUCGCAAGACCUCGCGCGAUUGGAGCGGCCGAUAUCAGAUUAGGUAGUUGGUGGGGUAAAGGCUCACCAAGCCGACGAUCUGUAGCUGGUCUGAGAGGACGACCAGCCACACUGGGACUGAGACACGGCCCAGACUCCUACGGGAGGCAGCAGUGGGGAAUUUUGGACAAUGGGCGAAAGCCUGAUCCAGCCAUGCCGCGUGCAGGAUGAAGGCCUUCGGGUUGUAAACUGCUUUUGUACGGAACGAAAAGGUUUGGCCUAAUAAGCUGAGCUCAUGACGGUACCGUAAGAAUAAGCACCGGCUAACUACGUGCCAGCAGCCGCGGUAA